rnacentral:lncRNA from 1 species
AAGAGAGUAUAACCUAACAAGGAAGUCUCCAAGAAAAGGUACGCAUACACACAACUGAUAAUUUUAUCUCUCUAAGAACACUAGAUAUUUUAUCCUCCAUUGUUAACCCUUGUAACGGCCUGUACUGACUCUCACGCCUGAGCUAUCCCCCGACGGUCAAUGUAAGGCCCCAACUUUUUAUAAAUGAAAAUUUAAUUUCCUCUAUUUAUUAUUUUGAAAUAGUAAGGGUUGAAUUGAUUAAUGUGGUUAGUUAUGGGUAAAAUGCGCAAAUAUUUUUAAAUGAGCAAAUAUUUUUAAAUGAGCUAGUGGUUAUAAAAUACUCAUUAUUGUCGGAGAAUAUUCGUUUGGUCGUGGAAUAUUCUUGCUGUCGGGGAAUAUUCGUACGACAACGCAGUCUUUUGUGGGCCCCAUAACGGAAAGCGAUUGGAU